UGUAGGGACUGACAGAAGGGUGAGGCAUGGGAGGUGUGGGCGGACAGGAAGAUGAGCCUCGCCGCCGCAUUCAUUAUGGACUGUAACGGUGCUAGUUGGGAGCACGUAAGACCACUGAGAAGCGGAUUACAGUAGUCAAGGCGAGAAAGGACAGUGGAAUGGACCAACACCUUAGUUGCAUCUGGCGUUAAGUAGGGGCGGAUGCGCGCAAUGUUUUUGAGAUGGAAAU